rnacentral:lncRNA from 10 species
UCCCUAACCUCCAUCAAAGGAGCAAUUUUCCCUCCAGGUGGGAACGGCCUCUCCUGGCUGUGGUGAGAGGGGCUGGUCUGGAAGUUUCUCUCCAGGUGGGAAAGGCCUCUCCUGGCUGUGGUGUGAGGGGCUGGUCUGGAAGCUUCUCUCCAGGUGGUAAAGGCCUCUCCUGGCUGUGGUGAGAGGGGCUGGUCUGGAAGUUUCUGUCCAGGUGGGAAAGGCCCCUCCUGGCUGUGGUGUGUGAAGGGCUGGUCUGGAAGCUUCUCUCCAGAUGGGAAAGGCCUCUUCUGGGUGUG